UAGAGUUUGAUCAUGGCUCAGGAUGAACGCUAGCGACAGGCUUAACACAUGCAAGUCGAGGGGCAUCGGGGCGAGGAGCAAUCCUUGCCGCCGGCGACCGGCGCACGGGUGAGUAACGCGUAUGCGACCUGCCCGUUGCAGGGGGAUAAUCGGGAGAAAUCCCGUCUAAUACCGCGUAAUGCCGCGGGGCUGCAUGGCCCUGCGGCCAAAGGGAGCGAUUCCGGCAACGGAUGGGCAUGCGUGACAUUAGCUAGUUGGCGGGGCAACGGCCCACCAAGGCGACGAUGUCUAGGGGUUCUGAGAGGAAGGUCCCCCACACUGGUACUGAGACACGGACCAGACUCCUACGGGAGGCAGCAGUGAGGAAUAUUGGUCAAUGGGCGCGAGCCUGAACCAGCCAAGUCGCGUGAGGGAUGACGGCCCUACGGGUUGUAAACCUCUUUUGUCGGGGAGCAAAUUCCGCCACGUGUGGCGGAGUCGAGAGUACCCGAAGAAAAAGCAUCGGCUAACUCCGUGCCAGCAGCCGCGGUAAUACGGAGGAUGCGAGCGUUAUCCGGAUUUAUUGGGUUUAAAGGGUGCGUAGGCGGACUGUCAAGUCAGCGGUAAAAUACGGGGGCUCAACCUCCGCCCGCCGUUGAAACUGACGGUCUUGAGUGGGCGAGAAGUAUGCGGAAUGCGUGGUGUAGCGGUGAAAUGCAUAGAUAUCACGCAGAACUCCGAUUGCGAAGGCAGCAUACCGGCGCCCGACUGACGCUGAGGCACGAAAGCGUGGGGAUCGAACAGGAUUAGAUACCCUGGUAGUCCACGCAGUAAACGAUGAAUGCUAGUUGUCCGGUUCUUUGGGACUGGGUGACACAGCGAAAGCGUUAAGCAUUCCACCUGGGGAGUACGCCGGCAACGGUGAAACUCAAAGGAAUUGACGGGGGCCCGCACAAGCGGAGGAACAUGUGGUUUAAUUCGAUGAUACGCGAGGAACCUUACCCGGGCUCAAACGUCGGAGGACGUGUGGAGAAAUCCGCAUUUCCCUCGGGACUUCCGACGAGGUGCUGCAUGGUUGUCGUCAGCUCGUGCCGUGAGGUGUCGGCUUAAGUGCCAUAACGAGCGCAACCCCCAUCUACAGUUGCUAACAGGUGAAGCUGAGGACUCUGUGGAGACUGCCGGCGCAAGCUGUGAGGAAGGCGGGGAUGACGUCAAAUCAGCACGGCCCUUACGUCCGGGGCGACACACGUGUUACAAUGGCAGGUACAGAGAGAAGCAAUGCGGCGACGCAAAGCGGAACUUGAAAGCCUGUCUCAGUUCGGAUUGGAGUCUGCAACUCGACUCCAUGAAGCUGGAUUCGCUAGUAAUCGCGCAUCAGCCAUGGCGCGGUGAAUACGUUCCCGGGCCUUGUACACACCGCCCGUCAAGCCAUGGAAGCCGGGAGUGCCUGAAGUGUGCAACCGCAAGGAGCGCCCUAAGGUAAAACUGGUGACUGGGGCUAAGUCGUAACAAGGUAACCGUA
rnacentral:rRNA from 1 species